GAAUCGCGAUAGGAAUUGCGAAUUGCAGAAUUCAGUGAAUCAUCGUAACUUUGAACGCAAACUGCGCUUGGGGGUUGACCCCGAGCAUGCCUUUCUGAGUGUCGGUCAAACCAUUUUUUGGGUUUUCCCAUAAAGUAAUGAGAGUUCUGUAUUGAUCUCUUCAAGAAUGAGUAGCGCCCGUAAGGGUGUGUAACAAGUGACUGACUGCUCCGUCAGCAGCGAGUGGAGAUGAAAAUUUUCACGAGCGACGGUAGUGUCUGACAUGGAAUUGCACUUGCUCUACAGUGACUCUUUCGAGAGACACAAUUGUUCUGACCAUCGACCUCAGAUGAGGUAGGAUUACCCGCUGAACUUAA
rnacentral:misc_RNA from 1 species